rnacentral:rRNA from 1 species
GAGACUCUGUGCGCGUGCAUAUCAAUAAGCGGAGGAAAAGAAACUAACAAGGAUUCCCUUAGUAACGGCGAGUGAAGCGGGAAGAGCUCAAAUUUGAAAUCUUCAAGGUUCUACCUUGACGAAUUGUAGUUUAAAGAAGUGUUUUCUGUUAGAUGAGUAGCAAAAGUUCCUUGGAAUGGGACAUCAUAGAGGGUGAGAAUCCCGUAUUUGGUUAUUCAUUCUAGCUUUGUGAUACACUUUCAAAGAGUCGGAUUGUUUGGGAAUGCAGUCCAAAAUGGGUGGUAAAUUUCAUCUAAAGCUAAAUAUUGGCGAGAGACCGAUAGCGAACAAGUACCGUGAGGGAAAGAUGAAAAGAACUUUGAAAAGAGAGUUAAACAGUACGUGAAAUUGUCAAAAGGGAAGCGUUUGACACCAGUGUUGUUUUUCCGAAAAUCAAUUACGAAUGGCUUGAUUUUGUGUUGUAUUGACCUUAUCAGCUUUCUUCACUUUUUUCGAGUCUUUCUUAAUGCACUUUUCGGUUAACAAGUCAACAUCAAUUUCUUUUGUUGUAAAAGAGUAUUCGGAAGGUGGCUUUCUUUUCGGAGAAAGUGUUUAUAGCCCUAUACUUCUACAAUCGGAGAGAUUGAGGUCUGCAGCGUAGAUCCUUCGGGGUUAGAUACACUUGUGCUAAGUUGUAGCUUUUCAUAGACAACUUGUUGACUAUGUUAGUCAUUGUAGGCUUACUCGCUUAUGCUAUUUUACCUACGCUUAGGAUGUUGACUGAUAUGUAGUCGUA